AAAGGGUCCGUAGGCGGUUUAAUAAGUCAGUGGUGAAAUCUGGUCGCUCAACGAUCAAACGGCCAUUGAUACUGUUAGACUUGAAUUAUAAGGAAGUAACUAGAAUAUGUAGUGUAGCGGUGAAAUGCUUAGAUAUUACAUGGAAUACCAAUUGCGAAGGCAGGUUACUACUUAUGGAUUGACGCUGAUGGACGAAAGCGUGGGGAGCGAACAGGAUUAGAUACCCUAGU
rnacentral:rRNA from 1 species